rnacentral:rRNA from 1 species
AAGCUAGCAUAUCAAUAAGCGGAGGAAAAGAAACCAACAGGGAUUGCCCUAGUAACGGCGAGUGAAGCGGCAACAGCUCAAAUUUGAAAUCUGGCUCUUUUAGAGCCCGAGUUGUAAUUUGCAGAGGGCGCUUUGGCAUUGGCGGCGGUCCAAGUUCUUUGGAACAGGACGUCACAGAGGGUGAGAAUCCCGUACGUGGUCGCUAGCCUUUGCCGUGUAAAGCCCCUUCGACGAGUCGAGUUGUUUGGGAAUGCAGCUCUAAAUGGGAGGUAAAUUUCUUCUAAAGCUAAAUACUGGCCAGAGACCGAUAGCGCACAAGUAGAGUGAUCGAAAGAUGAAAAGCACUUUGGAAAGAGAGUCAAAUAGCACGUGAAAUUGUUGAAAGGGAAGCGCUUGCAGCCAGACUUGCCUGUAGUUGCUUAUCCGGACUUUUGUCCGGUGCACUCUUCUGCGGGCAGGCCAGCAUCAGUUUGGGCGGUUGGAUAAAGGUCUCUGUCAUGUACCUCCUUUCGGGGAGGCCUUAUAGGGGAGGCGACAUGCAACCAGCCCGAACUGAGGUCCGCGCAUCUGCUAGGAUGCUGGCGUAAUGGCUGUAAGCGGCCCGUCUUGAAACACGGACCAAGGAGUCUAACAUCUAUGCGAGUGUUUGGGUGUCAAGCCCAGACGCGUAAUGAAAGUGAACGGAGGUGGGAACCUUUUAGGUGCACCAUCGACCGAUCCUGAUGUCUUCGGAUGGAUUUGAGUAAGAGCAUGGCUGUUGGGACCCGAAAGAUGGUGAACUAUGCUUGAAUAGGGUGAAGCCAGAGGAAACUCUGGUGGAGGCUCGCAGCGGUUCUGACGUGCAAAUCGAUCGUCAAAUUUGGGCAUAGGGGCGAAAGACUAAUCGAACUAUCAAUGCC